CAGGAACACAAUUUUAUUCCCCGCAUUCUGUCUGAAAGAUUAUCGGCUAUUGGGAGUCCAUGACCAUUUUAUCAGUGGGGAAUUGAUAUCCUUGGCCCAUUUCUUAAGGCUUCAGGGUGUAGAUAGUACGUCACUGUAGCAAUUGAUCAUCUUACUAAAUGAGCUAAAGCAGAAGCUACGCAGCUUAUCACCACUAAUAAGGCAAUUACCUUUGUCAAACAG
rnacentral:misc_RNA from 1 species